UUGGUUUCUUGCCUCUCUCUCACGAUUGACAGCUUCCGUCCCCCUCUGCCCUCCGUCUCCCUUUCUCUUCUCGACGAAGCAGCAGAACAGAGUAGUCCAGUGGUUCCUCUAUUUCUUACCGGCGAACAGAGCUACGGCGACACCUUUUUCCCUUCAUAUCUAGUCGACGGCGACAACUAGAUCGUGACCGGCAAGCUUCCAGCGACGAAGUUUCCUCUCGCGGUGGUUGGACCAAAAGCAGUUGCGACGGCUGGACCUCCCUCGGUGAGCAGCGGCUAUGGGCGGUGGAGGUUUGCGGUGUUGUGACUUGAGCUGUGGUUGCCGGUAGUGUGGUGUGGUUAGGAGGGGUGGCGGCGAAGCUUCCCUUUUCCGGCAAAGUUGUGGACAAAGCUGAGGUUUCCCAUUAUGGACUUGCUUAUGAGUUGAGUCGAGGAUUGGUGUUGAUUUUAGAGCUUAGCUUGAGGAUCUGAAAUUAGUGACUUGCCUUGAGAGCGCGGCAAAGAGUUCGUAUGCCUUGUAAUAGAAUUUGGUAUAGAUCCUUUGGUUUUAGAAUUUGAAUUAUAGAAUUGUAGUUAACUGGAUUUGGGGAUUAUGAAAUGUUGUAUUGGGAAAUUGUAUUAUGGUUUUCAGAUAGAACCUUUGCAGCCUGUGCGUUUGGGCUUAGUUGGUUACCUAAACGUGGCGUGACACCCCAAUGGUUUUGAUUUUGAUUUUGUUUCCGCAUUUG